rnacentral:rRNA from 1 species
AGAUGGCGACCGGCGCACGGGUGAGUAACACGUAUCCAACCUGCCGAUAACUCGGGGAUAGCCUUUCGAAAGAAAGAUUAAUACCCGAUGGCAUAAUUAGACCGCAUGGUCUUAUUAUUAAAGAAUUUCGGUUAUCGAUGGGGAUGCGUUCCAUUAGGCAGUUGGUGAGGUAACGGCUCACCAAACCUUCGAUGGAUAGGGGUUCUGAGAGGAAGGUCCCCCACAUUGGAACUGAGACACGGUCAA